rnacentral:tRNA from 1 species
GGUUGUGGCUCAGGGGUAGAGCACUUGCUUAGCAUGUGUGAGGCUCUGGGUUCAAUCCUCAGCACCA